UACAGAGGGUGCGAGCGUUGUCCGGAAUUACUGGGCGUAAAGGGCUCGUAGGCGGCCAACUAAGUCAGACGUGAAAUCCCCAGGCUCAACCUGGGAACUGCGUCUGAUACUGGUUGGCUUGAAUCCGGGAGAGGGAUGCAGAAUUCCAGGUGUAGCGGUGAAAUGCGUAGAUAUCUGGAGGAAUACCGGUGGCGAAGGCGGCAUCCUGGACCGGCAUUGACGCUGAGGAGCGAAAGCCAGGGGAGCAAACGGG
rnacentral:rRNA from 1 species